GCGAAUUUUCUCCCCAUCAUUGUCUCGUCGUCGUCGUCGUUGUCAGCGUCGUCGUCAACGACGUUGUUGCGUUACGUUGCGUUGCGAGCUGCCGGAGUACUACUGCUGCAUAAAUUCAGUAUUAUUCUAUUCGUCUGCGAUAAAAGUUGCGAGUAAAUGUUAGGUCUGUGUCUUGAUAGAUUUUCCUUUUUUUCCCAUUCGCGGUCUACUGGUGAAUGUUGAAGUUUUUCAGCUCGAUUUUUCUGCGGUCGCUGUGUGGUUUAUAUAUUUAUCAGCUCAUGCAAUCGCUUUUCUAGAAAAAGUUAUAAUUUUACAGUUAAAUGGCAAAAAUAGUGAAUUUUAAUAAGGAAAUUAAAACAAUAAAUUAUAGCGAAAAUCUGCAUGUCGCUUGCUCUGCCAUGUGGAUAAAAACUUUGCUGCCGAUUUUUCGAAAUUUUCUUAUUUAUCUAUCGCCUCUUUGUAGGGGGCAAGAAAUACGGAAAAUUACGCAGUUGUGAAUGCGGAAGAAAUACAACACUACGUGUAUACAAAAAUACAAAUUUCGAACAGCUGUAAAUUUUCAAAGUAAAAUUAUUAAAAUGUGUUAAAUGAAAAUAGCUAAUUAUUAAUUUAAAAGCUGUAAGAAUGACUAUUAAUAAAGUUGGUUUUUAAGCUAAAAACAUAGGUGCUCCUCCUCAAUUGUUGACCGUAGCGUGUGAAAUGUGUGUGUAUAAUUUUACUGAUCAAACCGCAGUUGCCAACUACAUAAGUACAUAAUUAUUGACAGCAGUAUUCGAUGACUGAUAACAAGUGAGCUGGCAACGUCGAGUUUGUGUUCGCUGCUUAUGCAA